rnacentral:rRNA from 1 species
AUUGAACGCUGGCGGCAGGCCUAACACAUGCAAGUCGAACGAGUGGCGGACGGGUGAGUAAUGUCUGGGAAACUGCCUGAUGAAGGGGGAUAACUCCGGGAAACGUUAGCUAAUCCCGCAUACCAUCGGAUGUGCCCAGAUGGGAUUAGCUAGUUGGGGGGGUAACGGCUCACCAAGCCAACGAUCCCUAGCUGGUCUGAGAGGAUGCCCAGCCACACUGGAACUGAGACACGGUCCAGACUCCUACGGGAGGCAGCAGUGGGGAAUAUUGCACAAUGGGCGCAAGCCUGAUGCAGCCAUGCCGCGUGUAUGAAGAAGGCCUUCGGGUUGUAAAGUACUUUCAGCGGGGAGGCGUUACCCGCAGAAGAAGCACCGGCUAACUCCGUGCCAGCAGCCGCGGUAAUAC